rnacentral:tRNA from 1 species
GGACCCGUAGCUCAAUCGGUAAGAGCAAUUGGCUCAUAACCAGUAGGUUGUCGGUUCAAGUCCGGCCGGGUCCA